AGCUAAAAACUUAGCCUUAUUCUACAAUUAUACUUACCAUAUUUUACUUACACAAAAUAAAACAUUCUUUAAGCUUAGUAAAGGAGAUAAAAAAGUUUUUUAGAGCUAUAAAAUAAGUACCGCAAGGGAAUAAUGAAAUAAAAAUGAAACAAAAUUCAAGCAUAACAAAGUAGAGCUUUUCCCUCGUACCUUUUGCAUCAUGAUUCAACUAGUUUAACCACGCAAAAAGAGUUUAAGUUUGACUUCCCGAAACUAAGUGAGCUACUUCAGGGCAGCUAAAUGAGCCAACCCGUCUCUGUUGCAAAAGAGUGGGAUGACCCUUAAGUAGAGGUGAUAAGCCUAACGAACUUAGUGAUAGCUGGUUAUUCAGGAAAAGAAUUUUAGUUCAACUUAAAAUUACAUAAAUAAAAUAAAAUAAAAUUUUAAUUUUAAAGCAAUUCAAAUAAGGUACAGCCUAUUUGAAAUAGAAUACAAUCUAAACUAUAGGGUAAAUAUAAAAUUAAUGUAAUAAAGUAGGCCUAAAAGCAGCCAACUUUAAAAUAGCGUCAAAGCUUACUUCCAUAAAUUUUUAAUACCAUUAUUUACAAUGAACCCUUUAUUUUCACUGAAUAUUUCUAUAAAAUUAUAGAACCUUUUAUGUUGAAACUAGUAACAAGAAGUUAAACUUCUCCUCAAUGUAAGUAUAAGUCAACUAGGAUGAACCAUCGACAAUUAACACUAAAAUUAAAUGUAUUAACUCCACAAGAAAAACUUACAUUAUCCAAUGUUAAUCUUACACCAGAACAUUUAAGGAAAGAUUUAAAAAAAAGGAAGGAACUCGGCAAACAUUAACCCCGCCUGUUUACCAAAAACAUCGCCUUCUGAUAUACUAUAGAAGGUCCAGCCUGCCCAGUGAAUUAAUUUAACGGCCGCGGUAUCCUAACCGUGCGAAGGUAGCGUAAUCACUUGUUCUUUAAAUGAGGACUAGUAUGAAUGGCACCACGAAGGUUAUACUGUCUCCCUUUUUUGAUCAGUUAAACUAAUCUUCACGUGAAGAAGCGUGAAUAAAUAUAUAAGACGAGAAGACCCUAUGGAGCUUAAAAUUACACAACAAUUGCUAAAAAAUCCUAAAUUUUAUGAAUAAUUUUUUACUAAACACCAUGAUUGCUAAUUUUUGGUUGGGGUGACCGCGGAGUAAAAAUUAACCUCCACAAUGAAAGAAAUUAAUAUUCUAAACUAAGAGCUACAACUCAAAGUAUUAAUAUUUUAACAUUCUUUGAUCCAAUAUUUGAUCAACGAACAAAGUUACCCUAGGGAUAACAGCGCAAUCUACUUUGAGAGCUCCUAUCGACAAGUAGGUUUACGACCUCGAUGUUGGAUCAGGGUAUCCUAGUGGUGCA
rnacentral:rRNA from 1 species